UCCAAAAAAUAGGUUAGAACUAGAUCGGUUAAUUCUGGAGCGGCUCGUCCAUAGCGCCGCCACCGCUCGAUACCUCGGCACCAGCCGCCGCCCUCCCGCCCGUCCUCCCGCCGCCGCCGCCAGCCAUACCUCGGCACCAGCCGCCACUCUCGCCUCCCCGUCAUAUAUCUCACGCAACCGCCACUCGCCCCUAGUUGAACUCCCGAUUCGCCGGACUCUGCUCCCCGCCGCUCCUCCCGGUCAAGUUCCCCUGCCGCUGGACGCCGGUAGACUCCCCCAGCCCAAGCUUCCCCGCCACCUGACGCCGAAUUCCUGCAGUCCAAGCUCCCCCGCAACAACCCAACGCCGCUCCCCGCCAACGCCAGGCUCCGCCACGUUGUUUGAUGUCCUCUGGCACUCUGUUCACCGUUUCUAGUCACAGAUUCAGUUAGCAUCCAGCUUCUUGCUGUACCAAGUUACUAGCCUAUCCAGAUUCAGUUAGCAUCCAGCGUGUUGCCCAUUGGCUAUGCCUUGGUAAACUGGAAAUCAAGUUGUUGUGAGUAUACAAAUUCAGAAUUGUCACUCUGCACUACCCGGGCGAAUCCUCUCUCCCUCAGCUGCCAAACAUCGACAACGAGCUCGCCCACACACCUCUGCUACUAGGAGCUUCCCAGCAGGUUAUACUAAAUGAUGGACCGGAUAUCACAGAAAAGAUAAGAGCAUUAGCCGCAAAACCAAGCAAAUGCGGGGUGCGCUACAGUGGCUAUAUAAUUAAUGGUUUCAGGUUUCAUACUAUCAGUCGCGAGACAGGACGCGUGACUCAAAAUAGUGGUGUCGUGAACCUUGCUGAAAAUGGUGUGUCGUAUUCUGGCCGGUUAUCUGACAUCUUCGAAUUGUCGUACAGACAUUACAAGGUGGUGUUCUUCAAAUGUGAUUGGUAUGAUGUUCAUCACAAAUCUGGUAUUAUAAGAGAUGAGUUUGGAUUCACUCAUGUGAACUUCUCCUGAAAAAUACAUACAUGGGAGAAUUUAGAGGAUGAUCCUUUUGUAUUUUCUUCCCAAGUUGAACAGGUCUUUUAUAUCUAGCAUCCGAGAAGUGAGAAUUGGAAUACCAUGGUAAAGUUCAAACCUCGUGAUAUAUUUGACAUGGUGAAGAACCAUCUUCAGAUGAAACAGAUUAGUCUUUGGGCCUUCAUCUUGUUAUUGGCAACUAAGAUAUAGGUUGAGCACUUGUCAUCCAUGCUCCUAGGUAGAGUUACUCCAACAUAAUUAUUCCAGCUGUGUGGAUCUUCUUCAAAAUGUAUUGUUCCCUGUGUUACUUUGUAAUGAAUGAUCCUAUGGUCUUUUUUUAAUGCGUAUGUUGCCUUUUGUUCCAA